UCCUACGGGAGGCAGCAGUGGGGAAUAUUGCGCAAUGGGCGAAAGCCUGACGCAGCGACGCCGCGUGAGGGAUGACGGCCUUCGGGUUGUAAACCUCUUUCAGCAGGGACGAAGCGAAAGUGACGGUACCUGCAGAAGAAGCGCCGGCCAACUACGUGCCAGCAGCCGCGGUAAUACGUAGGGCGCAAGCGUUGUCCGGAAUUAUUGGGCGUAAAGAGCUCGUAGGCGGUCUGUCGCGUCGGCUGUGAAAACCCGGGGCUCAACCCCGGGCCUGCAGUCGAUACGGGCAGACUAGAGUGCGGUAGGGGAGACUGGAAUUCCUGGUGUAGCGGUGAAAUGCGCAGAUAUCAGGAGGAACACCGGUGGCGAAGGCGGGUCUCUGGGCCGUAACUGACGCUGAGGAGCGAAAGCGUGGGGAGCGAACAGGAUUAGAUACCCCGGUAGUCCG
rnacentral:rRNA from 1 species